GCCCUAGUAACGGCAGUGAAGCGGCAUAGCUCAAUUUGAAAGCUGGCCUUUGGUCCGCAUUGUAAUUUGUAGAGGAUGCUUUUAGGCAGCCGCCGGUCUAAGUUCCUUGGAACAGGACGUCAUAGAGGGUGAGAAUCCCGUAUGUGACCGGCUCAGGCACCUUCUGUAAAGCUCCUUCGACGAGUCGAGUUGUUUGGGAAUGCAGCUCUAAAUGGGAGGUAAAUUUCUUCUAAAGCUAAAUACUGGCGAGAGACCGAUAGCGCACAAGUAGAGUGAUCGAAAGAUGAAAAGUACUUUGGAAAGAGAGUUAAAAAGCACGUGAAAUUGUUGAAAGGGAAGCGCUUGCAAUCAGACUUGGCCUCGGUUGUUCAACCGGUCUUUUGACCGGCCUAUUCAAUCGGGGGCAGGCCAGCAUCAGUUUCGGCGGCCGGAUAAAGGCCUUGGGAAUGUGGCCUCUCCUUCGGGGGAGGUGUUAUAGCCCAGGGUGUAAUACGGUCAGCUGGGACUGAGGUCCGCGCUUCGGCUAGGAUGCUGGCGUAAUGGUUGUAAGCGGCCCGUCUUGAAACACGGACCAAGGAGUCUAACAUCUAUGCGAGUGUUAGGGUGUCAAACCCUUACGCGUAAUGAAAGUGAACGGAGGUGGGAACCCGCAAGGGUGCACCAUCGACCGAUCCUGAUGUCUUCGGAUGGAUUUGAGUAAGAGCAUAGCUGUUGGGACCCGAAAGAUGGUGAACUAUGCCUGAAUAGGGUGAAGCCAGAGGAAACUCUGGUGGAGGCUCGCAGCGGUUCUGACGUGCAAAUCGAUCGUCAAAUUUGGGUAUAGGGGCGAAAGACUAAUCGAACCAUCUAGUAGCUGGUUCCUGCCGAAG
rnacentral:rRNA from 1 species